GACGAACGCUGGCGGCGUGCCUAAUACAUGCAAGUUGAGCGCUGAAGGUUGGUACUUGUGCCAACUGGAUGAGCAGCGCACGGGUGAGUAACGCGUGGGGAAUCUGCCUUUGAGCGGGGGACAACAUUUGGAAACGAAUGCUAAUACCGCAUAAAAACUUUAAACACAAGUUUUAAGUUUGAAAGAUGCAAUUGCAUCACUCAAAGAUGAUCCCGCGUUGUAUUAGCUAGUUGGUGAGGUAAAGGCUCACCAAGGCGAUGAUACAUAGCCGACCUGAGAGGGUGAGCGGCCACAUUGGGACGGAGACACGGCCCAAACUCCUACGGGAGGCAGCAGUAGGGAAUCUUCGGCAAUGGACGAAAGUCUGACCGAGCAACGCCGCGUGAGGGAAGAAGGUUUUCGGAUCGUAAAACUCUGUUGGUAGAGAAGAACGUUGGUGAGAGUGGAAAGCUCAUCAAGUGACGGUAACUACCCAGAAAGGGACGGCUAACUACGUG
rnacentral:rRNA from 1 species